AGCUCUGCCCCCUUUUUGAAAUUUGGAGGGCCCACCUCUGAAAGAAGAGAAGACCAGGCUCUCUGUCCUGGAGAGAGAACAUCCAAAAAGAAAUUAUCCAUUAAGUGUCUA